UGGGGAAUAUUGGACAAUGGGCGAAAGCCUGAUCCAGCCAUGCCGCGUGUGUGAAGAAGGCCUUUUGGUUGUAAAGCACUUUAAGUGGGGAGGAAAAGCUUAUGGUUAAUACCCAUAAGCCCUGACGUUACCCACAGAAUAAGCACCGGCUAACUCUGUGCCAGCAGCCGCGGUAAUACAGAGGGUGCAAGCGUUAAUCGGAAUUACUGGGCGUAAAGCGUGCGUAGGUGGUUAUUUAAGUCAGAUGUGAAAGCCCCGGGCUUAACCUGGGAACUGCAUCUGAUACUGGAUAACUAGAGUAGGUGAGAGGGGAGUAGAAUUCCAGGUGUAGCGGUGAAAUGCGUAGAGAUCUGGAGGAAUACCGAUGGCGAAGGCAGCUCCCUGGCAUCAUACUGACACUGAGGUGCGAAAGCGUGGGUAGCAAACAGGAUUAGAUACCCUGGUAGUCCACGCCGUAAACGAUGUCUACCAGUCGUUGGGUCUUUUAAAGACUUAGUGACGCAGUUAACGCAAUAAGUAGACCGCCUGGGGAGUACGGCCGCAAGGUUA
rnacentral:rRNA from 1 species